rnacentral:rRNA from 1 species
AAUGAACGCUGGCGGCGGGCCUAACACAUGCAAGUCGAGCGGAUGGAGGGAGCUUGUUCCUGUAUUCCGCUGCGGGCGGGUGGGUGAUGCAUAGGUAUCUGCCUGGCAGUGGGGGAUAAGGUAACGACACGGGCGCUAAUCUAGCAUCGGUUAAGAGGGUGAACGUCGGGGAUCUUCGGACAACGAGGUAUCAGAUGAGCCUAGGUCGGAUUAGCUAGUUGGUGGGGUAAAGGCCUAACAAGGCGACGAUCCGUAACUGGCCUGAGAGGAUGAUCAGUCACACUGGAACUGAGACACGGUCCAGACUCCUACGGGAGGCAGCAGUGGGGAAUAUUGGACAAUGGGCGAAAGCCUGAUCCAGCCAUGCCGCGUGUGUGAAGAAGGUCUUCGGAUUGUAAAGCUCUUUAAGUUGGGAGGAAGAACAGUAAGUUAAUACCUUGCUGUCUUGACGUUACCAACAGAAUAAGCACCGGCUAACUUCGUG